UGGGCGCGAAUCUUCCACAAUGGACGAAAGUCUGAUGGAGCAACGCCGCGUGAGUGAAGAAGGGUUUCGGCUCGUAAAACUCUGUUGUUAAAGAAGAACAUAUCUGAGAGUAACUGUUCAGGUAUUGACGGUAUUUAACCAGAAAGCCACGGCUAACUACGUGCCAGCAGCCGCGGUAAUAA
rnacentral:rRNA from 1 species